rnacentral:lncRNA from 1 species
AGCCUCUCUCUUGCUGCCUAGCCUCCCGCCGGCCUCAUCUUCGCCCAGCCAACCCCGCCUGGAGCCCUAUGGCCAACUGCGAGUUCAGCCCGGUGUCCGGGGACAAACCCUGCUGCCGGCUCUCUAGGAGAGCCCAACUCUGUCUCGGCGUCAGUAUCCUGGUCCUGAUCCUCGUUGUGGUGCUCGCGGUGGUCGUCCCGAGGUGGCGCCAGCAGUGGAGCGGUCCGGGCACCACCAAGCGCUUUCCCGAGACCGUCCUGGCGCGAUGCGUCAAGUACACUGAAAUUCAUCCUGAGAUGAGACACAGCUAAAAGAAGCGAGUUGGGCCAGGCACUGUGGCUCACACCUGUAAUCCCAGCACUCUGGGAGGCCCAGGCAGGUGGAUCACUUAAGGUCAGGAGUACAAGACCUGCCUGGCCAACAUGCUGAAACUCCGUCUCUACUAAAAAUACAAAAUUAGCCGGGUG